rfam:Hymenolepis diminuta genome assembly, scaffold: HDID_contig0010101
GUCACGAUGGCCGAGUGGUUAAGGCGAUGGACUCGAAAUCCAUUGGGGUCUCCCCGCGCAGGUUCAAAUCCUGCUCGUGACG